GGGUGGGAGCCCAACUCCAGGAUCUGGUGGGGCGGAGGAGGCAGGGACCCCGACGGUCCUGGCUGGGCGGGGCUAGCACCUCAUGGAAAGCAUGCGCAGAGCGUUUACCCGAAGCGGCUCCGAAGUUGAGCACCUGGCUGAAGAUGCAGCUCUGGGGAGGCGCGUUUCCACACACACUGGGGGAAGAUAAAGGCUCACCUCCUUGCUCCCUCCCGACCCCGGCCUCCCCGCCCGCGCCGUGACCACCUGAUGUACGGGAAGCCUUCGAUCCCACAUGCUGCUGGGGACAAAACCCGCAUGUGCGCCACAACUCCUGAGCCUGCUGCAACUACUGAAGCCCAAGCGCCUAGAGCCGGCGCUCUGCAGCCAGAGCAGCCACCACAAAGAAGAGUCGCCCGGCUCACCGCAGCUAGAGAAAGACUGCGGACAGCAGCGAAGACCCAGCACAGGCUAACAUAAAACAGCUCUCGGCUUCCUGGCCUCCUCCCUUCUCACUACUCGGGUGCCUGGGCCCCGGCCCCCCUCCUGCGUCCCCAGGCCCCGAGGGUCCAGGCCCCCAGCCCGUCCGCCCUCAGCCGCAGGGAGCGUCUCCUCCCUGAGACCCAGAAGUGCCAGCCACCCGCUCCCUCAGC